rnacentral:rRNA from 1 species
GUUGGCGGCCAUAGCGGAGGGGCUCACCCGUUCCCAUCUCGAACACGGAAGUUAAGCCCUCCAGCGACUUGAGCUGUACUGUCUUUCGACGGAAACCUCAUGACGCUGCCACUU